rnacentral:rRNA from 1 species
CAUCGCCUCCUGCAACUAUAUUGAGUAUAGGAGGUCCAGCCUGCCCAGUGACUACGGGUUCAACGGCCGCGGUAUUUUGACCGUGCAAAGGUAGCGCAAUCACUUGUCUCUUAAAUAGAGACCUGUAUGAAUGGCUAGACGAGGGCUUAACUGUCUCCCCCUUCCAGUCAGUGAAAUUGAUCUAUCCGUGCAGAAGCGGGUAUAAUUAUACAAGACGAGAAGACCCUUUGGAGCUUAAGGUACAAAAUUCAACCACGUUAAACGACUCUACAUGAAGCAAGAACUUAGUGGCGAAUGAAAUUUUACCUUCGGUUGGGGCGACCACGGAGGAGAAAGAAGCCUCCGAGUGGACUGGGCUAAUCCCCAAAGCCAAGAGAUACAUCUAUAAGCCGCAGAACAUCUGACCAAGAAUGAUCCGACUGAUAAAGCCGAUCAACGAACCAAGUUACCCUAGGGAUAACAGCGCAAUCCUCUCCCAGAGUCCAUAUCGACGAGGGGGUUUACGACCUCGAUGUUGGAUCAGGACAUCCUAAUGGUGCAGCCGCUAUUAAGGGUUCGUUUGUUCAACGAUUAAAGUCCUACGUGAUCUGAGUUC